rnacentral:lncRNA from 1 species
GGGGGGCGUGGGCGAAGUUCGUCCGCGGGACUCGGAAUGGCACCAUACUUGGCGGGCGGCCUCCGUGUGCCAAAAAUAGGCCACGGGCACAGCCGCGCCCAAAAAUCAGCCCCCGAAGGUCGGGGUCCCAAGACCCCCUAGCGGAAAAAUGGCCAAAAAACGGGUGGGCUAUAGCCUUGGGGGGGGGGGGAGGGCAAAUUUCGUCCGCGGGACUCGGAAUGGCACCGUUCUUGGCGGGCGGCCUCCGUGUGCCAAAAAUAGGGCACGGACACAGCCGCGCCCAAAAAUCAGCCCCCGAAGGUCGGGGUCCCAAGACCCCCCAGCGGAAAAAUGGCCAAAAAAAGGGUGGGCUAUAGCCUUGGUGGGGGGCGUGGGCGAAGUUCGUCCGCGGGACUCGGAAUGGCCCCAGACUUGGCGGGUGGCCUCCGUGUACCAAAAAUAGGCCACGGGCACAGCCGCGCCCAAAAAUCAGCCCCCGAAGGUCGGGGUCCCAAGACCCCCCAGCGGAAAAAUGGCCAAAAAACGGGUAGGCUAUAGCCUUGGAGGGGGGCGUGGGCGAAGUUCGUCCGCCGGACUCGGAAUGGCCCCAGACUUGGCGGACGGCCUCCGUGUGCCAAAAAUAGGCCACGGGCACAGCCGCGCCCAAAAAUCUGCCCCCGAAGGUCGGGGUCCCAAGACCCCCCAGCGGAAAAAUUGCCAAAAAACGGGUGGGCUAUAGCCUUGGAGGGGGGCGUGGGCGAAGUUCGUCCGCCGGACUCGGAAUGGUCCCAGACUUGGCGGGUGGCCUCCGUGUGCCAAAAAUAGGCCACGGGCACAGCCGCUCCCAAAAAUCAGCCCCCGAACGUCGGCGUCCCAAGACCCCCCAGCGGAAAAAUGGGCAAAAAACGGGUGGGCUAUAGCCUUGGUGGGGGGCGUGGACGAAGUUCGUCCGCGGGACUCGGAAUGGCACCAUACUUGGCGGGCAGCCUCCGUGUGCCAAAAAUAGGCCACGGGCACAGCCGCGCCCAAAAAUCAGCCCCCGAAGGUCGGGGUCCCAAGACCCCCCAGCGGAAAAAUGGCCAAAAAACGGGUGGGCUAUAGCCUUGGAGGGGGGCGUGGGCGAAGUUCGUCCGCCGGACUCGGAAUGGCCCCAGACUUGGCGGGCGGCCUCCGUGUGCCAAAAAUAGGCCACGGGCACAGCCGCACCCAAAAAUCAGCCCCCGAAAGUCGGGGUCCCAAGGCCCUCCAGCGGAAAAAUGGCCAAAAAAAGGGUGGGCUAUAGCCUAUGUGGGGGGCGUGGGCGAAGUUCGUCCGCGGGACUCGGAAUGGCACCAUACAUGCCAGGCGGCCUCCGUGUGCCAAAAAUAGGCCACGGGCACAGCCGCGCCCAAAACUCAGCCCCCGAAGGUCGGGGUUCCAAGACCCCCCAGCGGAAAAAUGGCCAAAAAACGGGUGGGCUAUAGCCUUGGCGGGGGGCGUGGGCGAAGUUCGUCCGCGGGACUCGGAAUGGCACCAGACUUGGCGGGCGGCCUCCGUGUGCCAAAAAUAGACCACGGGCACAGCCGCGCCCAAAAAUCAGCCCCCGAUGGUCGGGGUCCCAAGACCCCCCAGCGGAAAAAUGGCCAAAAAAAGGGUGGGCUAUAGCCUUGGUGGGCGGCGUGGGCGAAGUUCGUCCGCGGGACUCGGAAUGGCACCAGACUUGGCGGGCGGCCUCCGUGUGCCAAAAAUAGGCCACGGGCACAGCCGCUCCCAAAAAUCAGCCCCCGAACGUCGGCGUGGGCGAAGUUCGUCCGCGGGACUCGGAAUGGCCCCAGACUUGGCGGGCGGCCUCCGUGUGCCAAAAAUAGGCCACGGGCACAGCCGCGCCCAAAAAUUAGCCCCCGAAGGUCGGGGUCCCAAGACCCCCCUGCGGAAAAAUGGCCAAAAAACGGGUGGGCUAUAGCCUUGGCGGGGGGCGUGGGCGAAGUUCGUCCGCGGGACUCGGAAUGGCACCAGACAUGGCGGGCGGCCUCCGUGUGCCAAAAAUAGGCCACGGGCACAGCCGCGCCCAAAAAUCAGCCCCCGAUGGUCGGGGUCCCAAGACCCCCCAGCGGAAAAAUGGCCAAAAAAAGGGUGGGCUAUAGCCUUGGGGGGGGGCGUGGGCGACGUUCGUCC